CAUAAGAUGACGGGAAUAUGAAAACAGAAAAAAUGUGGCAUGAGGGAUGCUUCAUGUUUAUGCCUAAGAGAUCAAAAAAGAAACGAAAAAUAAGUAUGAGACUAUGAAGCAAUAUAGUAGCAAGCUGAUCCGACUCAACGUAAUCCCAGAACGUUCAAGCAGCCUUUUAUAGUAUUUCAUUUCACUGCAGUGAUGACAGCAGUUUCAUUUCAAUGAUGGAAAAGAAUCCUAUACUUCUGUGAAGCACAGAAAGUUAUAAACAAAA